rnacentral:rRNA from 1 species
AGUAGUUUGACUCCGUGGCUCAGGACGAACGCUGGCGGCGUGCUUAACACAUGCAAGUCGAACGGUAAGGCCCUUCGGGGUACACGAGUGGCGAACGGGUGAGUAACACGUGGGUGAUCUGCCCUGCACUUCGGGAUAAGCCUGGGAAACUGGGUCUAAUACCGGAUAGGACCAUGGACUUCACGGUUUGUGGUGGAAAGCUUUUGCGGUGUGGGAUGGGCCCGCGGCCUAUCAGCUUGUUGGUGGGGUAAUGGCCUACCAAGGCGACGACGGGUAGCCGGCCUGAGAGGGUGUCCGGCCACACUGGGACUGAGAUACGGCCCAGACUCCUACGGGAGGCAGCAGUGGGGAAUAUUGCACAAUGGGCGCAAGCCUGAUGCAGCGACGCCGCGUGAGGGAUGACGGCCUUCGGGUUGUAAACCUCUUUCAAUAGGGACGAAGCGCAAGUGACGGUACCUAUAGAAGAAGCACCGGCCAACUACGUG